rnacentral:sRNA from 1 species
AGACUCCGACUGGAUCCUUAGGGAAAUCCCGCAUCCUUCGAAAGCAGGAUGCGGCCACGCCCCCCGGGUGGCAACAUUGUGAUUGGUGGGUGGGGUUCAGGAGGUGUCGGGCCUGCCCCCGCUAGAGCUGGAACGCUGUUCUGAUUGGACCAUCGCCGGGUGGGCGUGACAUGAUUGUCCGGGCUGGGGCCUCCGCCGACCGGCCUGACCGCGCCCGGGAUGCCCUCGCUCAGGACCGUGGACGCGCUGGGUGUGCUGACCGGGGCGCAGCUUUUCUCGCUGCAGAAGGAGGAGCUGCGGGCGGUGAGCCCCGAGGAGGGGGCACGUGUGUACAGCCAGGUCACCGUGCAGCGCGCGCUGCUGGAGGACAAAGAGAAAGUGUCAGAGCUGGAGGCAGUGAUGGAGAAGCAAAAGAAGAAGGUGGAAGGCGAGGUGGAAAUGGAGGUCAUUUGACCUGCCAGGCGCCCUUCGCAGAGUGACGAGGCCCCGUGGGAGAACGGACUCUUCAGACUCUCCCCAAUAGCGGAAGUCGAUCUUCUGAAGGAUGGCCAAUCUGCUCCGGCCCUGGUCUUCCCCCAUCCCGGUGGACAGACUUAACGAUCCUUGCUGCAGUCCCUCCGGAGAGGAUCUGGACUGGCUGGGAGUGGGGAGGGCGUGGAGACAGUCUACGGAAAGCGCUAGCAGACCCCCGAGAGGGUGCAGUGGAGCCCUGAGCAUUGUAAUAUGCCGCCCAGCCUAUAAA